rnacentral:misc_RNA from 1 species
GAUGAAGAACGCAGCAAAAUGCGAUAAGUAAUGUGAAUUGCAGAAUUCAGUGAAUCAUCGAAUCUUUGAACGCACAUUGCGCCCGCUGGUAUUCCGGCGGGCAUGCCUGUUCGAGCGUCAUUUCAACCCUCAAGCCCCCGGGUUCGGUGUUGGGGAUCGGCUCUGCCCUUCUGGGCGGUGCCGCCCCCGAAAUACAUUGGCGGUCUCGCUGCAGCCUCCAUUGCGUAGUAGCUAACACCUCGCAACUGGAACGCGGCGCGGCCAUGCCGUAAAACCCCAACUUCUGAAUGUUGACCUCGGAUCAGGUAGGAAUACCCGCUGAACUUAAGCAUAUCAAUAAGCGGAGGA